rnacentral:rRNA from 1 species
UUCCAGGAAAAGCCUCUAAGCAUCAGGUAACAUCAAAUCGUACCCCAAACCGACACAGGUGGUCAGGUAGAGAAUACCAAGGCGCUUGAGAGAACUCGGGUGAAGGAACUAGGCAAAAUGGUGCCGUAACUUCGGGAGAAGGCACGCUGAUAUGUAGGUGAAGUCCCUCGCGGAUGGAGCUGAAAUCAGUCGAAGAUACCAGCUGGCUGCAACUGUUUAUUAAAAACACAGCACUGUGCAAACACGAAAGUGGACGUAUACGGUGUGACGCCUGCCCGGUGCCGGAAGGUUAAUUGAUGGGGUCAGCGCAAGCGAAGCUCUUGAUCGAAGCCCCGGUAAACGGCGGCCGUAACUAUAACGGUCCUAAGGUAGCGAAAUUCCUUGUCGGGUAAGUUCCGACCUGCACGAAUGGCGUAAUGAUGGCCAGGCUGUCUCCACCCGAGACUCAGUGAAAUUGAACUCGCUGUGAAGAUGCAGUGUACCCGCGGCAAGACGGAAAGACCCCGUGAACCUUUACUAUAGCUUGACACUGAACAUUGAGCCUUGAUGUGUAGGAUAGGUGGGAGGCUUGGAAGUGUGGACGCCAGUCUGCAUGGAGCCGACCUUGAAAUACCACCCUUUAAUGUUUGAUGUUCUAACGUUGACCCGUAAUCCGGGUUGCGGACAGUGUCUGGUGGGUAGUUUGACUGGGGCGGUCUCCUCCUAAAGAGUAACGGAGGAGCACGAAGGUUGGCUAAUCCUGGUCGGACAUCAGGAGGUUAGUGCAAUGGCAUAAGCCAGCUUGACUGCGAGCGUGACGGCGCGAGCAGGUGCGAAAGCAGGUCAUAGUGAUCCGGUGGUUCUGAAUGGAAGGGCCAUCGCUCAACGGAUAAAAGGUACUCCGGGGAUAACAGGCUGAUACCGCCCAAGAGUUCAUAUCGACGGCGGUGUUUGGCACCUCGAUGUCGGCUCAUCACAUCCUGGGGCUGAAGUAGGUCCCAAGGGUAUGGCUGUUCGCCAUUUAAAGUGGUACGCGAGCUGGGUUUAGAACGUCGUGAGACAGUUCGGUCCCUAUCUGCCGUGGGCGCUGGAGAACUGAGGGGGGCUGCUCCUAGUACGAGAGGACCGGAGUGGACGCAUCACUGGUGUUCGGGUUGUCAUGCCAAUGGCACUGCCCGGUAGCUAAAUGCGGAAGAGAUAAGUGCUGAAAGCAUCUAAGCACGAAACUUGCCCCGAGAUGAGUUCUCCCUGACUCCUUGAGAGUCCUGAAGGAACGUUGAAGACGACGACGUUGAUAGGCCGGGUGUGUAAGCGCAGCGAUGCGUUGAGCUAACCGGUACUAAUGAACCGUGAGGCUUAACCUUACAACGCCGAAGGUGUUU